UCUCCCAGUAAAACCACUCGUUCCUCCCUGGGGUGGGAUGGAGAGAACUGGAGGCACGAAAGGUAAAACUUUCAGGUUUUUGUCUUCAGCUUUGAGUUUAAAUUAUGUUAAACAUUAUGCUUUUAGUUUCAGCAUCAAGAAGCCUUAAUUAAAAGAACUAUUUAAAUUAUAUUGUAAAGGUAUACUACAGCUGUAUUCCUUAAUAUUCCUUAACUCUCUCCACAGGUUGAGUAUUUCUUUGACCCAAACCACUUCCAGGCAAACCUUUAAACUUGGAUCAGGUGGGCAGCUGUAGCUUGAAUGGUUCCUUAGCAGAGAGGCUGGUGGUUGCUGUGCUCUCUUCAUUCUUAUUAUAUGUGUCAGUUCAGAGUGCCUGCAGUUGCCUCUGGCUGGGUUGGGGAUCACAGGCCCCCUGGGCUGGGUUUGUUUAAAAAUCACGAGGAGGUGAGCAAAGAACCUGCUGUGCUCCUGGAUUCUGCAUUUACCACUUUGCUAAAGAGUGCCUAUGAGAGAGGAAGCAAUACCCUACUGGAAGGUGGUGUUCAGACAAAAUUGGCUUUCUGGCUCCCACCUGACCAGCUUUUGUUGGGAGUAAAGCAUGUGCUGUUAUACCUGAAAUCCACAGUGGAGAACUCAGCAGGGUAAGAGCAAUAUUGUAAUAAUAUUGUGGUUAUGUUUGAUUUAUUUUCAUGUAGAAGGUACAAAUGACUUAGCUGUUCAAACUUAGGUUCCAGUUCUGUAGCUCUUUUUUCUGUGCUUGUCUCUGAGGCUGCACAGCACCGUACAAAACUGCAUGUAAUUUGUGAACAAAUGCCAGUUCUUAUUAUUGAGGAUUUGCUUUGGAUUUACUUUGCAUGGGUUACCUUGCUGAUCAGUGUGAGUGCAAAUAACCUCGAGAUUUUAAUCCAGCUCCUGGGUCUCCCCAGGAAGCCUUUGCAGAGAGUAAAAUUCACUGGCCUGUGUACCUCCAAAUGUCAUAUAUAUAAUGUAUAAAUGAAUAUAUAUAUGUAUAAAUGAAAUUCUAUCACUAUUUAUUUGGCAACCUGAGACUUCUCUUAGAAUCAGGUUUCUAUUAAGGGAGGUGGUUCCUUCUCCCAGAAGAGGUUGUAAUCUAAGUAGUUCUUAGUUAACUCCUAUUCCUGUUGUAU